CAAUAAGCUACAUAAGAGCGUAUGGGGAAUGCCUAGGCUCUCAGAGGCGAUGAAGGACGUGAUAAGCUGCGAAAAGCUGCGGGGAUUGGCACAUACAAAUUGAUCCGCAGAUAUCCGAAUGGGGCAACCCAGCAUAUUGAAGAUAUGUUAUCCGAAAGGGGCGAACCCGGAGAACUGAAACAUCUAAGUACCCGGAGGAAGAGAAAACAAUAGUGAUUCCGUUAGUAGUGGCGAGCGAACGCGGAACAGCCCAAACCACUUUGGUUACGGCCAGAGUGGGGUUGUAGGACUGCGAUAUCUUAACAAAAAUGAACUGGAACGGUCUGGGAAGGCCGGUCAUAGAAGGUGAGAACCCUGUACAGGUAAGUUUUU
rnacentral:rRNA from 1 species